rnacentral:piRNA from 1 species
UACUGUGUGUUGUUGUUGAUGAUUUUCAG